GAUCUGGCUCAGGAUGAACGCUGGCGGCGUGCUUAAUACAUGCAAGUCGAACGAAGCACCUUGGACAGAAUCCUUCGGGAGGAAGACCAUUGUGACUGAGUGGCGGACGGGUGAGUAACGCGUGGGUAACCUGCCUUGUACAGGGGGAUAACAGUUGGAAACGACUGCUAAUACCGCAUAAGCGCACAGUACCGCAUGGUACGGUGUGAAAAACUCCGGUGGUACAAGAUGGACCCGCGUCUGAUUAG
rnacentral:rRNA from 1 species